rnacentral:rRNA from 1 species
CAGUGGUUGUGGAGUCGUCGUUGAAAUACCACUCUGGUCGUGCUGGAUGUCUAACCUGGGUCCGUGAUCCGGAUCAGGGACAGUGUCUGAUGGGUAGUUUAACUGGGGCGGUUGCCUCCUAAAGAGUAACGGAGGCGCCCAAAGGUUCCCUCAGCCUGGUUGGCAAUCAGGUGUUGAGUGUAAGUGCACAAGGGAGCUUGACUGUGAGACCGACGGGUCGAGCAGGGACGAAAGUCGGGACUAGUGAUCCGGCAGUGGCUUGUGGAAGCGCUGUCGCUCAACGGAUAAAAGGUACCCCGGGGAUAACAGGCUGAUCUUCCCCAAGAGUCCAUAUCGACGGGAUGGUUUGGCACCUCGAUGUCGGCUCGUCGCAUCCUGGGGCUGGAGUCGGUCCCAAGGGUUGGGCUGUUCGCCCAUUAAAGCGGUACGCGAGCUGGGUUUAGAACGUCGUGAGACAGUUCGGUCCCUAUCCGCUGUGCGCGUAGGAAUAUUGAGAAGGGCUGUCCCUAGUACGAGAGGACCGGGACGGACGAACCUCUGGUGUGCCAGUUGUUCUGCCAAGGGCAUGGCUGGUUGGCUACGUUCGGAAAGGAUAACCGCUGAAAGCAUCUAAGCGGGAAGCCUGCUUCGAGAUGAGUGUUCCCACCACCUUGAGUGGUUAAGGCUCCCAGUAGACGACUGGGUUGAUAGGCCAGAUGUGGAAGCCCGGUAACGGGCGGAGCUGACUGGUACUAAUAGGCCGAGGGCUUGUCCUCAGUUG